CUACGGGUUGCAGCAGUGAGGAAUUUUGCGCAAUGGGGGCAACCCUGACGCAGCAACGCCGCGUGAGUGAAGAAGGCCUUUGGGUCGUAAAGCUCUGUCGACAGGGAAGAAGUUAUUAUUGUUUAACAGAUGAUAGUAUUGACGGUACCUGUAGAGGAAGCACCGGCUAACUCCGUGCCAGCAGCCGCGGUAAUACGGGGGGUGCAAGCGUUAUUCGGAAUUAUUGGGCGUAAAGGGCGCGUAGGCGGUCUUGUCGGUCAGAUGUGAAAGCCCAGGGCUCAACCCUGGACGUGCAUUUGAAACAGCAAGACUUGAGUACGGGAGAGGAAAGCGGAAUUCCUGGUGUAGAGGUGAAAUUCGUAGAUAUCAGGAGGAACACCGAUGGCGAAGGCAGCUUUCUGGACCGAUACUGACGCUGAGGCGCGAAGGUGUGGGUAGCGAACGGGAUUAGAUACCCGAGUAGUC
rnacentral:rRNA from 1 species